UAUACACUGCCACCGGGUAGACAUUUAUCUCACAUCGUUAGGUCUUUGAAGAUGUGCGGAUUGAAUGUCUUUUUUA
rnacentral:ncRNA from 1 species